rnacentral:rRNA from 1 species
AGGACGAACGCUGGCGGCGUGCCUAACACAUGCAAGUCGAACGGGGAUUUGUUUCGGCAGAAUCCUAGUGGCGAACGGGUGAGUAACGCGUAGGCAACCUGCCCUCCGGCCGGGGACAACACGUCCGAAAGGGGUGCUAAUACCCGGAUACGAAGUCUGUGCCGCAUGGUACGGAUUUGAAAGAUGGCCUCUAUUUAGUAAGCUAUCGCCGGGGGGAUGGGCCUGCGUCCGAUUAGCUGGUUGGUGGGGUAACGGCCUACCAAGGCGACGAUCGGUAGCCGGUCUGAGAGGAUGAACGGCCACAUUGGGACUGAGACACGGCCCAGACUCCUACGGGAGGCAGCAGUGGGGAAUCUUCCGCAAUGGGCGCAAGCCUGACGGAGCAACGCCGCGUGAGUGAGGAAGUUCUUCGGAACGUAAAGCUCUGUUGUUCCUGACGAACCUCCCCUCUAUCAACAACGGAGGGGACUGACGGUAGGGAACGAGGAAGCCACGGCUAACUACGUGCCAGCAGCUGC